AUUGAACGCUGGCGGCAGGCCUAACACAUGCAAGUCGAACGAGUGGCGGACGGGUGAGUAAUGUCUGGGAAAUUGCCUGAUGGAGGGGGAUAACUACUGGCAACGGUAGCUAAUACCCAAUAGCAUCAUCUGGGCCCAGAUGGGAUUUGCUUGUUGGGGGGGAAACGGCUCACCAAGGCGACGAGCCCUAGCUGGUCUGAGAGGUGGACCAGCCACACUGGAACUUAGACACGGUCCAGACUCCUACGGGAGGCAGCAGUGGGGAAGAUUGCACAAUGGGCGCAAGCCUGAUGCAGCCAUGCCGCGUGUAUGAAGAAGGCCUUCGGGUUGUAAAGUACUUUCAGCUGGGAGGCGUUACCCGCAGAAGAAGCACCGGCUAACUCCGUGCCAGCAGCCGCGGUAAUAC
rnacentral:rRNA from 1 species